AUACAGAGGGGGCAAGCGUUAUUCGGAAUUAUUGGGCGUAAAGGGCGCGUAGGCGGUUUUUUAAGUCAGAUGUGUAAUCCCCGAGCUCAACUUGGGAACUGCAUCUGAGACUGGAAGGCUAGAGUACUGGAGAGGGUGGUGGAAUUCCUCGUGUAGCGGUGAAAUGCGUAGAGAUGAGGAGGAACACCAGUGGCGAAGGCGGCCACCUGGACAGUAACUGACGCUGAGGCGCGAAAGUGUGGGUAGCAAACAGGAUUAGAUACCCUGGUAGUCCACGCUGUAAACGAUGAACACUUGGCGUGGAGGGAGUUGACCCCUUCCGUGCCGGAGCUAACGCGUUAAGUGUUCCGCCUGGGGAGUACGGUCGCAAGGCUGAA
rnacentral:rRNA from 1 species